GUGGGGAAUAUUGCACAAUGGGCGCAAGCCUGAUGCAGCAACGCCGCGUGAGGGACGACGGCCUUCGGGUUGUAAACCUCUUUUAGCAGGGAAGAAGCGAAAGUGACGGUACCUGCAGAAAAAGCACCGGCUAACUACGUGCCAGCAGCCGCGGUAAUACGUAGGGUGCAAGCGUUGUCCGGAAUUAUUGGGCGUAAAGAGCUCGUAGGCGGUUUGUCGCGUCUGCUGUGAAAACCCGAGGCUCAACCUCGGGCCUGCAGUGGGUACGGGCAGACUAGAGUGCGGUAGGGGAGAUUGGAAUUCCGGGUGUAGCGGUGGAAUGCGCAGAUAUCAGGAGGAACACCGAUGGCGAAGGCAGAUCUCUGGGCCGUAACUGACGCUGAGGAGCGAAAGCGUGGGGAGCGAACAGGAUUAGAAACCCCGGUAGUCC
rnacentral:rRNA from 1 species